AAGACAACGGGGUGGAUUUCAUCAAGAAGGAUAUCAAUCCACCAAAUUGCCCUCAGUCCCGCCCAAUCGAGAAACAUUGGCCAAUGGAUCACUAACCUUUCAGUACUCGCGCCAAUUUUUGUAACGCGAGCAGUCGCGCGUUGUACUUUGUACAACACCCAUACAUUCUGAAAUAUCUAAGGAUCCUGAUUGUUUAGAGGAGGACUGUCUUUGGCAAAGUUGUUGUAAAUUUCAUGGGCUACUUGAUGCUGACAAAGUUGAUUCGUAAUACGUCCACUAGGCGGCGCUAGUGAGCAAUAUCAUGUUAUAUCUUAUAUCUCAGGAUCCUGAUGUCUUAGAAAGAUGGUGUCUUCGGCAAAGUUGUUUGGUAAGUCAACGGCUUACAGAUUAUUGGCCGUUUAAUUGGAAAUUUCACCACUAGGCGGCGCUAGUGAGCAAAUAAACUUUAUAUUCUAUGUAUCUCGGGAUCCUGAUUACUUAGAAAGAUGAUGUCUUUGACAAAGUUGUUUAGUAGGUCAAGGACUUACGGAUGAUUCGCAGUUUAAUUUGAAAUUUCACCACUAGGCGGCGCUAGUGAGCAAUUUCAUGUUAUUUCUUAUAUCUCAGGAUCCUGAUGGCUUAUAAAGAUGGUGUCUUCGGCAAAGUUGUUUGGUAGGUCAAGUACUUACGGAUGAUUCGCAGUUUAAUGUGAAAUUUCAUCACUUGGCGGCGCUAGUGAGCACGUAAAUAUUAUAUAUUAUGUAUCUCUGAACCCUCAUUACUUAGAAAGAUAGUGUCUUCGGCAAAGAUGUUUGGUAUAUCAAGGGCUUAUAGAUGAGUGACAGUUGCGCUAGUGAGCAUGUAAAUUUUUAAUCGCAUGUAGCUCAGGAUCCCGAUUAAAAAGGCACGGGACACCGUUUUCAGCCAGAGGCUGUACAGACUGAACAGAACUUAGCACUAGACCAUGGACACGACAUACAUUACAUGCACUAGUGGAUAGCAUGGUGCGGUUACACGCUUGGUAACGCUAACCGAACGGCCACGAAGCUCCACUUUACUCAGAAAGAUGGUGUCUUCGGCAAAGUUGUUUGGUAGAUCAAAGACCAAAUGGAGAAAAAGUUACCUCUUGUGCCGACCUUCUAAAAGAUCGAAAACUUACAGAUAGUUGUCCGUUUGAAUCGUAAUUUCACCACUAGAUGACGCUAGUGAACAUAACAAAUGUAUAUGCAAUAGUUCUCAGGAUCCUGGUUACUAGAAGAGAGAUGGUGGUUUCGGCAAAGUUGUCAAAUAGGUUAAGUGCAUUUGGUUGAUGGGUCGUUGAAAUCAAUAUUUCGCCAGUAAGUGGUGCCAAUGAGUAUGCAAAUUUUAUAUCUUAUAUAUCUCCGAGUCUGAUUACCUGGGAAGUUGAUAUAUUUGGCAAGGUUGGUUGGUAGAUCAAGGGCUUUCAGUUGUUUGACCAUUUGAUUCGUGCCUCUGCCACCAGAAGACGCUAAUUGUAAAUUUGCAAAAGCAUGAACGUGUUAUUAUUCAUCUAGAAAAAAAAAUCAACGGGCUGUAAAUUUUUAUACUUCCGAAAGUUUUCAAAAUUUGAAAAUUACACAACUAGUUGAUUAUAAUUUGUUUAAAUUUGCACUUGAUUGAUUAAUUUUACAUGAAGUUAAAGCGCUUAGUAAAAUAUUCAAUAUCUGACCGUCGUAUUUCAAUAUACUCUAUCUUAAGGUUGUCAAUGUCACGGGAUAAGUACAUCCAUCCUUUAUCCAUCAAACAACAAUGUCGAGGACAUCAUCUUUCUAAGUAAUCAGGAUCUUGAGAUAUAUGAAGUAUAAAAUGGGAAUGCACACUAGUGCCACCUGGAUGUGAAAUUGCACGUCAUAUUUGUCUUCAUCAGUUAGUGUUUGAUCUACUAAACAACUUUUCAGAAGACACCGUCUUUCUAAGUAAUCAGGGUCCUGAGACACAUGAGUUAUAAAAUUUGAAUACCCACUAGCGCCACCUAGAUGUGGAGUUUCAAAUCAUACGGCUCUCCAUCAGUUAGUGUUCGAUCUACUAAACAACUUUGCUGAAGACAUCAUCUUUCUAAGUAAUCAGGAUCUCGAGAUAUAUGAAUUAUAUUAUUUGAGUACUCACUUGCUCCACCUGGAUGUGGAAUUCCACAUCAUACUUGUCUUCAUCAGUUAGUGUUUGAUCUACUAAACAACUUUGCAGAAGACACCAUCUUUCUAAGUAAUCAGGGUCCUGAGAUGUAUGAGUUAUACAAUUUCAAUGCCCAUUAGCGCCACCUAGAUGUGGAGUUUCAAACCAAACGGCUCUCCAUCAGUUAGGGUUUAACCAACCAAACAACUUUGCCGAAGACACCAUCUUUCUAAGUACUCAGGAUCCUGUUAUAUGGGAUAUAAAAAUUACAUGCUCACUAGCGCCGCCUAUCGGUUGAAAUCUGAAUUUCUCAGAUCACCUCGCGAAGGCCCUUGAUAUCCCAAGUAACUUUGCCGAAGACACCAUAUUUCUAGAUCAUUUAGAUUUUGAAAUACACUAAUUCACAUUCAACUGUCUAUCUUAUCUUAAAUAUAGUACGUUCUUCAUAUUGCGAUUUUCAAUUUUCCGCAUUAUAAGGAGUUAUA